rnacentral:rRNA from 1 species
GGGUGCGAUCAUACCAGCACUAAUGCACCGGAUCCCAUCAGAACUCCGCAGUUAAGCGUGCUUGGGCGAGAGUAGUACUAGGAUGGGUGACCUCCUGGGAAGUUCUCGUGUUGCACCCG